rnacentral:lncRNA from 1 species
AAGGUAGUACUAAGAACAAAGAUUAAAGGACUAAUCAUGUUGAAUUAAUUGGGUUGGUUAAUUUGGAGUUAUAAAUCAUACAUGUUUGUCUCUUUAUUUAUGUGAAUGCUAGAACCAAGGAGAAGCUUAUAAAAGUGAUAGUCAAGUACCUUAGAAUGUUACCUUACUUGAAGAGUGGCGGUACAGUAUCACCUUGUAGAAGCUUUCCUUUCUUAGCGGUUGUGCAUCGUGUUUGUGGCACCCUCCAUGGAUCAUCUCUUAUGAGCUACGUCUUCCUCGUGUA